CUUCCGCCGGCGACCGGCGCACGGGUGAGUAACACGUAUGCAACCUGCCCCUGUCAGGGGGACAACCCGCCGAAAGGCGGGCUAAACCCGCGUACAUGCCACCGGGGCAUCCCGGAGGCAGGAAAGGCUUCGGCCGGACAGGGAUGGGCAUGCGGCGCAUUAGGCAGUAGGCGGGGUAACGGCCCACCGAGGCGACGAUGCGUAGGGGUUCUGAGAGGAAGGUCCCCCACACUGGUACUGAGACACGGACCAGACUCCUACGGGAGGCAGCAG
rnacentral:rRNA from 1 species